GCAGCCAGCUGCCCGAUCGACACACUGAAGUUGGGUGCAUGUGUGGAUCUUCUAGGUGGGCUGGUCCACAUUGGAUUGGGCGAUCCGGCUGUGAAUGAAUGCUGCCCGAUAAUAUCGGGGCUUGUUGAGGCUGAAGCUGCAGCAUGCUUGUGCACAACUCUUAAAGUUAAAGCCCUAAAUCUCAAAUUAUAUGUCCCUAUUGCUCUUCAGCUCCUUGUCUCCUGUGGAAAGACACCACCUCCCGGCUACGAAUGCUCUAUCUAGAUUCCACUUUGGUAAUCAUCAUUUUUUCUCUCACAUAUGUAUACAUUAUUUGGCUAUUAUGCGCAUGAAAUACUUAUUACAUCAUUGUAAUAAUUAUAAUUUUUUUUUGGUUAUGCAGGUUUGCUAGCUAGAUGGAUUGAAGAAUCCAAAUCGACAUGAGAGGAUGUCGGGCUCGCAUGCAUGGGUUUCGUUUUCGUUAUUUGUUUGUUGUCUUCCAAUCCUUCAUUUUUUUUUUCUUGCUGGAAUUAAUAGUUGAUGUUUGCGUUUGUUCGGUCAACACCAUUUCAUUGUGUAAAAGUUUGUCAUAUUCAUGUAUUGUUUGUUGAUGAGAAAGCAGUAUAAUUAAUCAAAAAUGAUUCUAGAUGAAACACAUGCAAACUUGAGUUCAUCUAUCUUAAUUUAUUUGUUGAAAAUUAUAAUAGUUGGAGAUUGGAUGCUAUGAUCCACGAGCUUAGUACGAAAUUGAGAAUGAUUGUCGAGCGCAAUUUACUAAGCAAAGUUCAGAAAGACUAAUGUUAUGGUUCUGAUCUACAGACACUUAGAUGAAACUAUUGUUUGGACUAUAUUCAUGAGUAGAGAAUCCCCAGAUAUUAUGGUGUAUACUCGCUAAUCAUUUUCAUCAUCAAAAGACUAUACUCUUGCCUGAAGUAAGGACAAGUAGAUUCUAUUAUGGCUUAUGUAAAAUCGGAAUUAGUCUUAAAAAAAUAGACAAAUGCGAUAUAUGUGUUGGAUCUAGGCAUUGGUGGGGCACAUGUAGUGCAAUAAGCGUUGUUGUUGUAGAUGUAAAUAAUAAUGCACCAGCAUAUACUAGUAUGAUAAAGAUCAAUAUUCUCAAUGUGGAGUUCGUUGCUCAACUUCCAUACUUGGGGCACAUCUGACCAAAUAAAUCAUAUUAGAAUAUGAUGGGAGUACUGAUUUCUGAAAUAUGCAUUAUGAUCAUUUUUUUGUCUUUAGUUUAUUAGUUUAUUGGAUCUAAAUCAUCUUAUUUCAUAUUCUCUUGUUAUGAACCAUAUUCGAACUUGGAUUAUAUUUAGUUUAUGCUAUAGACUAUAUUCUUACGUGACUAUAUAUUCUAAAUAAAUUAUUAUAGUAUUCUUUGGUGUUUAUUUAACUUGCUGAAUUUUAUUUAGUACCUAAAGUGCUAAAUAUAUAUGACUAGAAAGAUCCCUGUAUUGUAAAAUUCACGUAGGAAAGGUCCCCCUCCUAUUUAAGUUAGUGAGAACACCUUUAGAUCUUAGUUAGGCUAAGAAAUAGAAGUAAACUACUAAUACUACCUUUAAUUUACUAAUACUACCUUUAAUGAUUUAUAUCUUAUUAACCAUAACUUUUUACUUCUAUCUCUUCUCUCUCUUUUCUCUCAAUCUGAAAAUCGUUCCUUCUCUUCCAACUUUCUUCUCUCUAUCCUCAUUUUCUUGUCUUCUCCAUUUAUUACUGUCUUGGCCUGCAAUAUUACUGUCUCCAACAGUAAUAUUACUGUCUGAGACACUAAUUUACUGUAUUUAUUCAUUUUAUCGUCUUGGCCGGCAAUUUUGCUGUAUUCGACCGUAAUAUUACUGUCUCAUGCAGUAAUAUUACUUUUUGGGAAAAUAAUAUUUAGUGAUAUUAAUGUUAGGGACAAUAAUAUUUAGUAAUAGUACUGUUUGGGACAGUAAUAUUACUGUUUCGGCAUUCACUAUUACUGUCUUAGACAAUAAUUUUGUUGUUAAUAAGGUAAUCUAGAGAGAUAAAAAAAAGUUUGGAAAAGCAAAAGUCAACGUCGGAAUCUUGCCGGAAAAAAUAUUUCAGAGAAAAAGUCUAAAAAAGUAUUCUUUCAAAAAAUUAUGAAAAUGAGGGUUAAUGUUACAUAGUUGUUCAAAUAUGGGAUCAAUGUGCAAUAUUGAUGAUGUUAGAAUAUAAUAUAUGAAACUGAUAGAAAUUAUAUAAGAGUUAUUUUAGACAAAAGACAUGGAGGUCAUUUGCCAGACUGUUUUUUAUGUUAACGUAUAUGCAGUUAAGUCACUUGUCAUAGGCCUAUUUGGCAUUUGCCCCUCAAAAUAUAAAGUACUUUUAUUAUGUGUUUGUUUUUUUUAUUUUUUUCAUUAUAUUAAAUAUAAAUUUGAACACCCUCUGUAAAAAUUCCGAGUUCACCACCUCCAGCGUGCAUCCAACAGUUAUAUAUAUCUUAUGUUACAUGCAUGAUUAGUUAAGCAGGAGAGGGUAACCAAAAAAAGAAAAAGAAAAAAAAGGCUCCCAGAAAGAUUACUGAAUUUGCAUGGCAGUUGACAACUAGCAUAUUUUGGAAGCUGCCUCGGUGUAGAGUCACAUGCUUCGGUUUUAGGGUUUUUUUUGUAUUCUUUCUCCACUUACUGUUACUAUUUAACACAGUCCCAUCUAUUACUCUUCUGUACCACCGAAACUCAACCAACAAUAAUAAUGGAGUACUCCUCAAAGAUGUUAGCUCUCUUUCUCAUUUCCAUGCUCUCCGUUUCAGCCUCCGCCUCUCGCAUUAUCGAAAAAGACUGUGCCCCUAAAACCCCCUCCGUAAAACCCCCUUCCACUAUCCCUAAGCUGCCCGUUCCACCUGUCACUAUCCCUAAGCUGCCCGUUCCACCCGUCUCAAUUCCCAAAUUGCCCCUCCCACCGGUCUCAAUUCCCAAACUACCCCUCCCACCCGUAGCUGUCCCUAAACUGCCCCUCCCACCAGUAGCUGUCCCAAAACUGCCCCUCCCACCAGUAGCAGUGCCGAAACUGCCCCUCCCACCAGUCACAUUGCCCAAUCUGCCAUUGCCGCCAGUGGCAAUCCCCAAACUGCCCCUCCCACCAGUUGGAAUCCCUCCAGUGCUGGACCCACCAACCACCGGAACAGCCUGCCCGCCGCCACCCGGGAAAGCGUCAGAAAGCUGCCCGAUAGACACACUGAAGCUGGGUGCAUGCGUGGAUCUUCUAGGUGGGCUGGUCCACAUUGGAUUGGGAGAUCCAGCUGUGAAUGAAUGCUGCCCGAUAAUAUCGGGGCUUGUCGAGGCUGAAGCUGCAGUAUGCUUGUGCACAACUCUUAAAAUCAAAGCCCUAAACCUCAAAUUAUAUGUCCCUAUUGCUCUUCAGCUUCUCGUCACCUGUGGAAAGUCACCACCUCCUGGCUACGAAUGCUCUAUCUAGAUUCCACUUGGGUAAUUCAUUAAUUUUUCUCCCACAUUUGUAUACAUAAUUUGGCUAUUAUGCGCAUGAAAUACUUAUUACAUCAUUGUAAUAAUUAUAC
rnacentral:lncRNA from 1 species